UUGCCUCUGCACGUUCGCUUCAUAAAGGUGCCUACAAUUUUUCAUCAACUCCUUCUUGUUGGAGAAGUGGGAUUAUCCGCAUUUCUCUCUAUCGACUCGAUGAUCGUCUGGCGGUACUUUUAGAUUUGCAAUUUUCGGGAAAAGGGUGGUUUGUUAUUGCGUGAUCUAGUCCUUCUUGUGCUUCAAAGAUUUCGGGUUAUGUCGACUUUUCAUGGUGGCUUUUUGGCGGACCUUUUAGCUUUAGUUCUCAUCGGGUCUUUCACUUGGCUAGAUCGCGGCCUUACUCCAAUUAUGAUUUUUUUUGCUUUUGUCUGUAUCUUUUGUAAAUUCUCUUUUUGAUCUACUUUGGUGAUGCCUUUUUUGUGGUUCCAAAUUCUCUCUCGGUCAAUCUUGCUUGUCAGCGGCAGAAGUUUUGGGAGCUGGGGCUGUGGAGUGAGGAAUGCAGAUGAUAUGUUUGAUAAUUUGCCUCUUCGUAGUCAAUGCUCUUGUGCAGUCAGACUUAGAAGCGCUUUUGGAGCUGAAGAAAGGGAUUUAGAGGGACCGCUCAGGGCAACUUCUUGAUUCAUAUGAUUCCAAGUCCUUGGCCUCUGAUGGGUGUCCCCAGAAUUGGCACGGUGUCACGUGUAGUGAAGGUCAUGUCACAAAAGCUUUUUUCUUGACAUUGUGGGCCUAAUUGGGAAAUUCAGCUUAGUUGCUGUUUCUGGCCUCAUCAUGCUUCAGAAUUUUUCAUUAUCUAAAAACCAAUUGACAGAGAUCGUCUCGGAGGUUAGCUCAGGCUUAGAUCAAUUGAAAUAGUUAGAUUUGCAAAAUUCGAAGCCCUUUUCGAUAAAUGCUUGAAAAAACCAAUUCAAGCAAGCAAUGAAUAGCAAGUAAUGAAUAUUAUUUCAAGCAAGUAAUGAAUAUUAUUCGGAUUUUAAGCCAAAAAAACUUAACGGAUUUGCUGGAGAUGUCACGAAGCUGCUCUCUGUUUUCUGUAGCGUAGAGUAUGCUGAUUUGAGCUAUAAUCAGCUCUCCAUUUCACUUGACCAGGUGCUUGGUAAUUCUAGUUUCCUUUCCUCAAUUCGCUAUCUGAACUUUAGCUCCAAUUCUUUAGCAGGGGAGCUAUUUUCGCACAAUGGGAUGCCAUUUUUAACAGUUUGGAGGCGUUUGAUGCUAGUAACAAUAGGUUAGUGGGUAAAAUACCCCCCUUCAACUUUGUAGUCUCUUUGGAUUCUCCGGCUCGGGAACCAGUUGAUGGGUCUUUGCCGCAAGUGCUGUUGCAGGAGAGCUCUAUGAUUUAGUCUGUGAUGGAUCUUAGUGAUAACCAGCUUGAAGGUGUCUCAGAUUCACCGAUUUACUGCACUCCCGUUUGAUGCAGGCCCAAUUGGAUGUUACCACUGCAACUUUGAAGAAGUUUAAUUUAUCUUCAAACAGACUGUCGGGCUCGGUACCGUCUGUAUAGAGCAUUGUGCCACGAUACUUGAGCAUGCCCUCUGGCAAUUUUUCAUGAAUAUAGAGUUGGGGAAACUCUGGAAGGAGUUCCAACUCAUUGACAGGAACAUUACCUAUCCAAACUUCUCAAUUUUUGAGACUGGCUUCAUUCAAGUCUUAGGCACAUAUCCAGAAUUGAAAGUAAUAGGUCUUAGCCUCAACCAGCUCAGUGGAACCCUUUUUCCUUAGUUUGUUUAGCUCAACCAAAUUCACUGAUCUUAACUUAUGGUUCAAUCCCUUUUGAGGAAAAUUUAGAUCAUUCUUCUGUAGUCUCCGAUCAGAACUUCAGCCUUUGAAUUAUUGAUCUGUCAAGUAACUCAUUGAGUGGCUCUCUUCCUUGGGAAAUCGACAGAUACUGUGACUUAGUAUAUCUGGACCUUUCACCCAUUUACUUUGAAGGUGGCCUUCUCGAUAAUCUGCUUGAUGAACUUCAAGGAUUUAAUGUGUCUUACAAUAAUUUCUCAGGCACUGUUCCUGAAAACUUGAGAAGAUUUCCUGAUUCUGCAUUGCAUCCAGGAAAAUCUUAGCUGGUUUCUCCUUAUGCACCAAAAUCUCCGGAAGGGCCACCAUAUAGGAUUGAGUGAACUUGGGAAACGUAUGAGAACUGCUACUAAGAUUGCCCUUAUUGCAGAUCUGGUUGGAGGUGCUUAUAUGAUAGCUCUUCUAUGCUUCCUCAUCUCUUGCAGCAGAAAACAAAUAAAAGAUGAAGAUUUGAAAGAAAAUAUAUGGAAAACUGGUCAUUCUCUAGGCGAUUCUGCAGCUAAUCUCGCAUCAUUUUUCCAAAAGAUAUUGGAGCCCCAUCGUCCUCAGUUACUUUAAAUCCAGAUAGCUGCCAUAUGCUCAGAUGGGCUUUUCUCCUCAAUCAGAAUCAAAUUCAUGAGUUGCAAAAGUAAAUGUGGAUCUUAGCUAUGUUGAAAGAGUAGAUGAACUGGUUUCUUCUCCUAUAUCUCUGUUGUCUUCUUCAAAUCCAUUGCCUUCUAACGAACCCAGUGUGCUCAAUGUUGGUUCUCUGGACUAGUUGGAUGGUGACUUGCAUCUAUUUGACAGGUCCUUUAUCUUCACAGCAGGAGAACUUUUGUGUGCUCCUGCAGAAGUCAUGUGAAGGAGUUGUCAUGUAACAUCAUGUAAAGCUACACUUGCAUUC